rnacentral:rRNA from 1 species
AUUGAACGCUGGCGGCAGGCCUAACACAUGCAAGUCGAGCGGAGCGUCGGACGGGUGAGUAAUGUCUAGGAGACCGCCUGGUAUUGGGGGAUAUCGCUCGGCAACGGGCGCUAAUAUCGCAUACUAUCAGAUGACCCCCGUUCGGAUAAGCUAGUUGGUGGGGUAAAGGCCUACCAAGGCGAAGAUCCGUAACUGGUCUGAGAGGAUGACCAGCCACACUGGAACUGAGACACGGCCCAGACUCCUACGGGAGGCAGCAGUGGGGAAUGUUGGACAAUGGGGGAAAGCCUGAUCCAGCCAUGCCGCGUGUAUGAAGAAGGUCUUCGGAUUGUAAAGCACUUUAAGUUGGGAGGCGUUACCAACAGAAUAAGCACCGGCUAACUACGUGCCAGCAGCCGCGGUAAUUC